AGCGGCGGAUGGGUGAGUAACACGUGGGUAACCUGCCUGUAAGACUGGGAUAACUCCGGGAAACCGGAGCUAAUACCGGAUAGUUCCUUGAACCGCAUGGUUCAAGGAUGAAAGACGGUUUCGGCUGUCACUUACAGAUGGACCCGCGGCGCAUUAGCUAGUUGGUGAGGUAACGGCUCACCAAGGCGACGAUGCGUAGCCGACCUGAGAGGGUGAUCGGCCACACUGGGACUGAGACACGGCCCAGACUCCUACGGGAGGCAGCAGUAGGGAAUCUUCCGCAAUGGACGAAAGUCUGACGGAGCAACGCCGCGUGAGUGAUGAAGGUUUUCGGAUCGUAAAGCUCUGUUGUUAGGGAAGAACAAGUGCAAGAGUAACUGCUUGCACCUUGACGGUACCUAACCAGAAAGCCACGGCUAACUACGUGCCAGCAGCCGCGGUAAUACGUAGGUGGCAAGCGUUGUCCGGAAUUAUUGGGCGUAAAGGGCUCGCAGGCGGUUUCUUAAGUCUGAUGUGAAAGCCCCCGGCUCAACCGGGGAGGGUCAUUGGAAACUGGGAAACUUGAGUGCAGAAGAGGAGAGUGGAAUUCCACGUGUAGCGGUGAAAUGCGUAGAGAUGUGGAGGAACACCAGUGGCGAAGGCGACUCUCUGG
rnacentral:rRNA from 1 species